UCCGGGUCAGCGCGAGAACUACCGUAGGUCACUGUGAAAGUGGCAGCUCGAAAGAGUGGGAUCCUACGGCUCGGGGCCCGGAGUUUU
rnacentral:sRNA from 12 species